GUUUUAUUUCAUUCUAUUUUAGAAUAUUUCUAUUUUACAUCCAAGCAGUUCAUGCCCAUAGUUUAAAAAGUUUAAAAAGGUACUUUCCCUGCCCUUCCCACCUGACUAGCAACCAGGGCUCCCACCUGACUAGCAACCAGGGCACCCACCUGGAUGAAAGGCAGCCACUUCAACUCUUCCCUGCCUCCCCAUGGCAUUCUCACAUUGCUGUUCUUGACUUUUCACUUUUAGAUAGUGCUACAGUCUGAGUGGUUAUGUUCUCCUAAAAUUCAUAUGUCAGAACUCUAAUCCUUAAGAGAUGGUAUUAGGAGGUGGGGCCUUUGAGAGGUGGUUAGGUCAUGGGUUUGGAGCCCUCACGAGUGGGAUCAGCACCUUUAAAGAAAGCAUCUUUGGGAGGCCAAGGUGGGCAGAUCAUUUGAGGUCAGGAGUUUGAGGCCAGCCUGGCCAACAUGGUGAAACCCCAUCUCUACUAAAAAAAUACAAAAAUUAGCUGGGUGUGGUGGCACAUGCUUGUAAUCCCAGCUACUCGGGAGGCUGAGGUAGGAGAAUUGCUUGAACCUGGGAGGUGGAGGCUGCAGUGAGCCGAGAUCGCACCAUCCCACUCCAGCCUAGGCGACAGAGUGAGACUCUGUCUCAAAACAAACAAACAAACAAAAAAAAACCCAAGGGAGACCCCUCACUCCUUCUACCAUGUGAGGUCACAGCAAGAAGGCGCCAUCUACAAAUCAGAAGGCAGGCUCUCACCAGACAACAAAUCUGCCAGUGCUUUGAUCUUACACUCCCCCCUCCAAGAACUGGGAGAAGGAGAUUUCUGUUGCCUAUAAGCCACACUGUGUACAGGAUUUUGCUACAGUAGCCCAGGUGAACUAAGACAGAUAGUAUCUAUUAACUCUAUCCUAUAGAAAUUGAGGAUUUCACUUCCUCAUAUACCUCCAUACUGCCUGGCACAGACAUACACAUGGACACACACAUGCACACACACGUGUGCACACAUAUGUGGACACACACAUUCACGCGCUCUCAUUUUCUCUAAUGAUGUGAUAAACUAGGGCUGUAUCAGCAUCUAGAGGUUGCCUUACUAUGCCUGUGUGACCAUAUUAACAUUCUCAGCUGAUUUAUAUAACAUUUGUUUUCUUACUCAACUGUUUUUAUUUGUCCUAGAGUUAAUAAUUAUCUAUAUCUUUUUCUUGUUCACUUUCCUAUGUACUUAUCACAAUUGUAUCCUAAAACUCUGCCAGAAGUAGAAAUCUCCUUUCGAGGCAUUCAAACGUAUCUACUAUCAGUUUUAUUUUUAUCUUGGAGACAUCGUUCUAGAACCCUAGCCUCGCUGCUGGCCUUGUUGCCUUCUAGAGUCGCUGCUUCCUUUUUGUCAAUCUCAGGAUGAGAACAUGUUUGGGGGCCAUUAUUCUGCCUACCAUGAUGAAAUUUAUUCUGCUUUUAGCUAGACUGAAAUGUUCAAAUCAACCAACGACAUUUUUCUCCCAGUUCCCCCUCUCUUUGCCAACCAGUAACUCUUUGGAUAUGUAGCUACAAGAAUGCAGCCUUGUUUUCUGGGUCAGAAAGCACUUCCUCUCUCUUUUUAGGAGUCAGAAAUUCAUGUUCUCAUUUUACAGACAGAAAAAUAGAGGCCCAGAGAAUAUGAAUAUUUUGCUGAAAAUCCUAGAGAGCAAAGUUCAGUCUCAUUUCCAAGACUGAUCUUUGUCUUCCACAUGUGGCAUCCAUGACGUUGUUUUCCAGUUGUUCCUGGAUAAUGUGAUAGGCGAGUUACUACAUCAGCAUAAAGCAUUUCCACAUGAUUCCUUGUAGAAGUGCCACCAAAGCAUGUUUCCAGUGCAGAUGGUUAUUCUUCAUUUACCACUUUUACUUUCACAAUUUACUUUGUAAAAUGGGCAUUUUACUCCUAAAUAAGAGAGAAUCAUGUGGUCCUAUUACUUUUAUAGCCAUAAAUAUUGGAAGCCUGAAACAAAAUUUCCAUGUCUUCCACCCACCGCCUCCCUGCCUAGCUUUAGGCUGUGUCGGUGACAGCCAUGACAUCUCAGAAUGGAGCCUGUAGGGGCUGGGUCAGAGCCAUUUAUGGAACAAUGCUCUUCCCUUUGUUUUCAGCGAGCUAGUUGUAAACACAUUUCAGACCUCUUGCUUUCUCUCAAUUCUUCUGCAGUUCACGUUUGAGAUUGCGAGAUGCUAUUUCUUUUGACAACAAUAAAAGCUUCUCCGUUCAUGGUUGGGCCCCAGCUUUGACAGACUAGAAAUGCCACCCAUGUGGGCUCCACAGCUUCCUUACAAGGAAAAGAGUGAGCUGGGGUGACCUGCGCUAGUGAAACCGGCCCUUGGUCCUGAUAUCCAAAGCUCACCUGUCCUGCCUCCGGCUCUGGAAAUGUUUUGUCUUGUGUAUUUUUCAAGACAGUGAAAGAAGACACAGUUUCAUGUUCGAGAAACUGAAGUUCUCAGAGAUUCAGUAACUUGCCUGAAGUUACUAAUAAGUGGUCAAGCUGCAGUUUAAACCUAAACCCAUCGAAGUGCAUGUUGCUUCCAGCUGGGACACCCAGCCCACUUAGGGAUGGCUGGAAUCCUAAGUCCUUCUGUGUCAUAUCUGAGUGUCGACGGAAGUAGCAGAUGCCCAUCCUCAUGGUGAGAACCUUUUCAGACACGGGGUUGGUGACCUGUCCCCAAAGGUCAGUGCAGUGGUCCUGUGUGGGGUGCAGUGUAGGGUAGGGCUCAGCAGGCAAGGUCUUCAAGCCUGCACAGCCAGCCCCAAGCUCUGGAUCUCUGAUUAUUAUGGAAUUGGAUGGGAACAUGAUUCUAACAUAACCCAAGUGCCGAAAGAGAGCAAAUACUCAAAUGGGAAAGCACUGAUGAAUGAAGGUGGAGCUUACCCAAGUUCAAAUAGCUUAACAUUUGCAGGAUUCUCAUAGGAUCUUUACCCUAUGGCUUUUUCCCCCCAGAAAUUUCAAGAAAGGACCAUUAUUAGUGAUGGGAGGAAGGCACCUUGAUACUACUUUCUAACAUCCUUAAAGAAAAACCCCUGGAUGUUCUGAUAUAUUUAAGAAGAAAUAAGAGAUAGGAAGAUAAAUCAGAAGUCCAAAACCCUAGAGUUCUAAGGCCUGCUCUUUCAUUAACUAACUAUAUGACUGGUGGCAACUCAUGCUCCAUGCCUCAGUUUACCCAUAUUUAAAAUAAAAGAUUUGGGCUGGAUCAUUUUUGGUAAAUGCUCAAACUUUAAAAUAUUAUAAGCCAAUAAUGGAACAAAACUAAGUUUCUUCUGAUAAAUGUGUUUCUUUCUCCUGGGCUCCUUCUUCUGUCCUGUAAAAACUGCCCUGACCACCUCCUUUCAAAAGAGUAUUUCCUGUGCUGUGGUGAAACCUCUGUCUUCUUUUCCAAGGCCACAUGCUUCUGCCCACACUAACUUCCCAAGCACUUUCAGGCAUCAGUUCAUUUUCCUCAUAUCACCUACCACAACUUGUCAUUAUAUAUUUAUAGAUUUGUUUGUUUUAUAGAGACUGUUUCUCCUAUGAGAUUGCAAGUUCCAUGAGAACAGCUACUAUGCCUGCUUUGUUUACCAACGCAUAUUCACUGUCCAGCAUUGUGUGUGGAACAUAAAAGGCUCUUGGUUAAUGCCUGCUGAAUAAAUGAAUCUGUCAUCUUCCCUUUUUUGAUCAUUAUCAUAGGUAUCAUUUGUUAAGGGCUUACUAGGGAUCAGACAUUGAGCUGAUGCUUUGCAUGUAUUACCUCAUGAACACAUCACAACAACCUCACCUGGCAGGUUGCAUCUGUUUUGCAGAUGAAGUCACUGAGGAUCCAAGAGGUCAUGGAGCAAAUGCACUCUAGAACCUGGAUCCAAACCACAGCUGACUCACUCAGAGUCUAAGUACUGAGCCCUUGCAAAGUACUACCUUGGGUCCUCAGUGACUCUGAGCAUUAGGUCGGACAUGUAGUAGGUUCUCAGGAUAUGUGUACUGAAUUGAGUCUCUGUGUGAUGGAGCUAACAGAUGGUAAAUGGAGGUCAGUAUUUAUGACCCAUGGGGCUGAUAAUCUGAAGCUUCAAUGCCUGAGGUGGAUUCUGAAAUCUGGAGCAAGGAUUGGUAGAGUAGAAAAUCUCUUUCUAACAAUGAGAUUCAUUCUUGUGUGCGUGGAGAGUUUAACAGAGCUCCUUUCUUCCACCGUAUGAGGGUGUGACUUCAAAUUUUUCUUGAAAUGCACAUUUUUAAUUAGAAGAUUUUAUGUGGGUUGCCAAGCUUCUGAGAACUAAAAGGACACUUGUGCCUCGGGGACACUUACAGAGACUGGUCCCUCGGUAAGUGCAUAAUAAAAAAUACACAGAGAGCAACUGAAAUUAAACCCACAGGGAACCCAUUGCACUUGGUUUCAAAUACCUAAAGACUUGACAGCUACAGAAUAAAGAGAAAGAACAGAAACAAAAGUCAAUGCCAAUUUGCUUAAUUUGGGGUUCUUUUUCCUGAGAGUAUCUUUCUGAGAAUCUAGAGUUGGCAGAAAUGUUGGAGACUGUCAGGUCUAAGACCCCCUCCUGCAGAUGGGAGACUGAGGCCCGAAGAAGUUGUGGCAAGGUCAAAGCAAGGUCAAACCAAGUGAGCUAUGGGUCAGAAAGAAGAGAAGGCAUCACUGUGUGCUACAGCAGGGCCCUAGGAGAAAUUUGCUGGUGGUGAGGAAGAUGGGGAUUGGUGGGGAUUGCAAGAGUAGGGGGUGGGGCGGACAGCUCUCUAGCAAUAUGGCUUCUGCUCUGUUCAAAGCGAAAUUAGAAAUUGUUCAAACAGAAAAUGAGUAUGUCAAGAAAAUCACAUGUCAAGGAAUAUAGAGUCACUUAUUAGUGUUUGUCUCCAGAACAUAAUCUAACGGACUGUAGGAGAAAUCCCAGAUUCUCUUGGGCUCCUUUGCUGCCUCAAGCUCUCUUAUACUUGAAUCCCCCACCCUUAGACACAUUGCUGUCCCUUAAACUUGAGAGUAGCGCCAAUAAAUCUCCAAAUAGCCUGGACUGAACUGGAAUCAGAAUAAUAUUAAUGCACUUAAGGAAAGAAUGGGUCAUUGAAAAGGUGAGGGGUAGUAUCUUAGAAUAUAUAAUUCAAAGGGGAGAAUAGCCUGGUACAUUCAGCACUGCCCAGGUGAAAGGAAUACAGUAUGUGAAGGACGCUAGUAGCUCUAAUCACCAGAGGUAUAGGGUAGGAUGUAGAAGUAUUUCACAGGGAAUUUUAAUAAAAUGUUUCUCCAAGCUGGAUCUGAUUCCAUGGUUGCAAGUAAUCUUCAUAAACUUCAAUGACCAGGCCAGGUGUGGUGGCUCACACUGGUAAUCCUAGUAUUUUGGAAGGCCAAAGUGGGAGGAUCACUUGAGGUAAGGAGUUGAAGACCAGCCUCGGCAACAUAGAGAGAGCUCAUCUCUACAAAAAUUUUUUUUUAAUUAGCCAGGUGUGAUGGUACGUGCCCAUAGUCCUAGCUACUAAAGAGACUGAGGCAGGAGGACCCCCUCAAGCCCAGAAGUGAGCUACAGUGAGUUAUGAUCGUGCCACUGCACUCCAGCCUGGGUGACAGAGCGAGACCUUGUCACUAAAACAUUUAAAAAACAAAACACAACAAAACUUCAACAAUUGAUGACCUGGUGUGUGUUAUUUUUAAAAUCUUGAUUUUAAAGCUUGAUUCUAGGAAUGGGGUAUGAGCAUGUACACAGGACUGCUGAGAGCUGGUUUGAGCACAGUGAAGAAAUGAGACUUGGAGCCCCAUCAAAGGCAGACAGCUAGAAAUCUUCACAGGGGAUUUAUGCUCAAGUCCAAGUCUCCUUUCCACCCUGGCAGCUCCAGCAGCCUGUCCUUAGCUUCCACUUCCUGUGUAGUUCAUCAGCUCUGGAUGGACAUGAGUGGUCCUGUCACUGGGGAAAGAGAUCAUUCUUGCUAUAAAUACAUGGAUGGUGUGGCUUCAGUGUCCACCUCUGUGAAGUGAGUUGUUGAAACGAUAUCUUAGGAAGUCUAUGAACCUGUGAUAUGGUUUGGCUGUGCCCCCACCCAAACCCCAUCUUGAAUUCCCACGUGUGGUGGGAGGGACUCAGUGGGAGGUAAUUGAAUCAUGGGGGCAAGUCUUUCCUGUGCCGUUUUCAUGACAGCGAAUAAGUCUCACAAGAUCUGAUGGUUUUAAAAAGAAGAAUUCCCCUGCACAAGCUCCCUCUCGUUGCCUGCUGCCAUCCAUGUAAGAUGUGACUUGCUCUUCCUUGCAUCCACCAUGAUUGUGAGGCUUUCCCAGUCACGUGGAACUGUAAGUCCAGUUAAACCUCUUUCUUUUGUAAAUUGCCCAGUCUCGGGUAUGUCAGCAGUGUGAAAACAACGGACUAAUACAACCCAAUAGGGGAGGAUCUGAUCCCAAAGCCUGAUCAUGCUCUGAGGCAACAAGCCCCACUUUGGAGACACCUUAGCAGGCAGCCAUUCUUCACCAGGUGGCCCCAUUCUCCAUCGCCCAAGCACCGUCUUCUCAAUGCUGCCCCCUGCUGAUAGGCGUCUCUCACUCUGCAGUGCUGGGGUCCAUGGCUGGCCAUGACAGCAGGGUUUACCUGCCCUUGCCACUUGUUUUCACCUGACUGUGGUUAAGCCUCUUUACGUCCCUGAGUUUCUGUUGUUUCAUAUACACAGGAAAAAUGCUGCUUCAGAACCUUUCUCACAGCCCAAAUGAGAGCAUGUCUAGGAAAAGGUUUUAAAAGCAUCCAUCGUUUUACAGAUGUGAUAGGCUGGUAACAACUCCAUCAACACACAUUUCUAAAGAUGCUCCAUGUACACUCAUCAGUGUAAUGCAAAUCCCAUGAAGAUCCCCCUCUCCAGCCAUUUCCCUUGAAACAGACACCUUGGACACCUGUCCAAGACAGGUGGCCAGAUGCCAAGAGAUCUGAGGGUGACCUUAUUUUGUCCACCUUAGUGUUUUAUUACAAAAAAAGAAAAGUCUUGAUUUACUUCCAUUAAGAAACCAAGUCUUAUCUCCUAAACAUAAGUCCAUUUCUUCCUUGUUCUUUUUGGAAUACCGAAAAUGACCAUGAAGAAUCUAAUUCACAAAACAUCAUGCACUUGAAGACGAUCCUAAUGGUACCUUUCAGUUUGCUCAUCAGUAGACAAAUUAAAAUUAUCUCGAUUCCUAUAUAUCAUUCCCUACAUUUUACUGUGUCCCAUGUAUCAUUGUUUUUACUUCAUUAGCUAAAAAUUCAAAGCAUUAGAAACCAUUUUUACCUUUCUUUCUCCCUUCCUUCCUUCCUUCCUUUCUUUCUUUCUUUUCUUCCUUUCUUCCUUUCUUUUUCUUUUUUUGAAGACGGGGUCUCACUAUGUUGCCCAGACUAGUUUAGAACUCCACAUCUCAAGUCAUCCCUCCACCUCUAUCUCCCAAGUCGUUGGGAUUACAGGUGUGAACCACCAUGCCCAUGUCUGGACCAAUUUUUCUUUAAUACCAAACAGCACAAUUUGGGAAUCUCUGUUUUCUUACAACUCGUCUACUACCAGACCAUUUAACAGCUGUUCUGAACUAAAGGUGGGUAUAUUCACUUGCUUAGAACUUCUGCUUAAAAUUUAUUUAUAAUGCAGUUGUCCUAAUAAUAGUGUAGCUGUCCCAGUUGUCAUAGUAGUACGGUAUUUAUAACAUGACUAAAUAAAUCCCAAAUAUGGCUAAGAUUCUGGAGGAGGAAAUGAAGAACACUGAACUCUCUCAUCCUUCCCACUGACUUCUUUAGAAGGUUCUGAUGAUUAAUCUCCAUGCUGGAUACCUUGUGGCCCCAGCCUCUAAGAGCCUUUGGUCUAUGUCCUUAAGGCAGAUGCACAUACAGUGAAAUAGUGUUCACAAUAAAGCUGGUGCUGCAAAGGAUAAAACAUGCUUAUGUGAUAAAUCUUGGCAGGAAAGCAACAUAAUUCCCACUCAUAAAACAUUUUUCUCAGUCCACUCUCUGUGCCAUUCUGAAAAAAUCCGGAAAUCACACCAGCAUUCUUUAUUUUUAGCCCAUCCAAAAUUUCACUCACUUUAGGCGUGUGGGCAAGGAGCUAUCUUUAGAAUCAUCAACCAAAUGCAUUGGAAUCACAGAUUAUUAGGGCCUGGGUAACUCUCUAUUUGAUUUGUUUUUUCUUAGCCUGGGAACCCCAAUAUAGAAAACUCAGCUGGAAUGGGGACCCAAAGAGAAGUCAAGUGAGUGAGUCACUUGACUUCUCUGGGACCCAAAGUCUUGUCAAGUUGGUUUCUCCCAUUGUCUGCUGCUCAGACACUGUCAUGUAAUCUGAGGUUUUUAAGGAGCAACUGGACAACCACAGAUCCUGCACAACCACGGAUCCAGGCCAACCCUAUCAUUUUGCAGAUGAAGCAACAGAAGCCCACAGGGACGAAGUGACCAGCUCAGAACCUCCAGCAGUCACUGGCCAGGCCAGGAAAAGAAUUCAGGUCUCCUGACUUCCAAAUAAGUGUCCUUUCCAUGGCAUAUGCAUAAGAUAUGGUUACAAUGGAAACUACUUUUUUUCUUAUCCCAUUAGCCAGAAAAGUUCAUCUAAGAAACAGGUGACUGAUGGGAAAGUUUGCCUACUGGAGGCAUGAGGAAAUCAAGUUACUUUAUUGUAAUUAGACAGUAGUUCUUUUCUUUGACUGAGAGGAGAGUGAAAAGUGCAAGGAGAAACAAGACAAAGAACGACUGCCUAGAAGUUACUCCAUUAUGGUUUGCUGCACUGUCCUAUCCACAAAGAUACUUGCCUGCCAUUCCUUGCCUGUGUGACUUCCAGUGAGUCACUUGACUUCUCUGGACCUUGGAAGCUCUUGUGCUCUCUGAGAGCACAGCAGAGGCCCUGUUCUGGCCAUUGGACAUCAUGAAGAUCUGUUGUCCUCCCCAGAUGGACACACCCUAGAUCAGCACCUUCUUUUCUUCCUUGUCUCAGUACUUCUUAUAGAGCCAGGAUAUCCUUAAUGUUUUGUGGGUUUUUUUUGGGGGGGGGGUGCGGGGGCGGGUGGGGAGGGUAGGUAUUUUGUGCAUUGAAUAAUUGUCUUCCCAGUUGGAUAUUUUUUGGGGGCUUUGACUGUGUCUUUUUGCUUCUUUUAACAUGUUUCUUGCUGGGUCUUGUCUCGCUUAUAAGGCAGGAACCCAGACCCCUGCAACGAGUCGCACUCUGGUAUUUCCAGAAGCCCUGGAUGGCUUUAUAUGUGCUCCCAUACAAUUAGUUCAGCCAUCUUUGUCUCUUAACACUGUUCCAGAACUCUCUGCGCAGACCAUGACAUCUUCCUGGCAUCACUGAUACUUCCACUGGGCACUGCUAUGCCCUCUUGUCACUGCCUUACCAGCUGCAGAAAAUGACUAUAGUUGCUCCCUUUAUUUUCUUUCUUUUUCUGAUGUGUGUGUAUUUCCAAUUUCCCCCCUCCCUUUCUGCUACUAUUUAUUUAGUCCCCAGGUGACUGGAUAGCUAGAUAGGAUUUUGACUGCACUGGAAAAGGAAUAAACACCACCCAGAGCUGGAAACACUGACCAUGAGACAUGGAGUCUUUCCUCCUGCGGGGAAGGGAUGGACAUUUUCAUUUGUAGAAGGGCUAGUUGUAUAAGGUAAGAGCAUGCUGCUGCUGUUAUCAUUUAAAAGUUUAAUUAUGGAAAGAAGCAUAUAUGUGGAUGUUAAAUAAUAAAAAAGGUGGAAUAUUGCUCACUCAACACCUAUCUCAAGCCUCUGAGCUUGCCUUUCUGAGCUACAGGAUAGAAAACUAAAAUUAGAUUUCCUAAUUCUUCUUCCAGCUAGGGAGCUUCCUUGAGAAAUGGUGUAGUACAAGUCCUGAAAUUAAGAUUAAAUAGCAUGGGGAGGCCUCAAAUGGCCUAAUCUCAAGUCCCUUGCCCACUCUGCUGUGGCAGAUAAGGUCCCCUAACCAAACAAGCCCUCCUUGUCAGGGAGACCAGGCCCAGUGUCUGCUUAUCCCUGAGUGGUGGGCUUCAGGCCCCUGCCAGCACACAGAAAUAUUCAGACAAGCCACAUGCAUCCUCUCGUGGGAAGCAGGCCUCACCUCACCCUCUGUUAUUGGAAAGACUGCCUCCCACAGACCCUGUUUGUUCAUUGUGCUCCCAAAUAGAAUCCCCAUAUGGCCCUGUACAGUAUGCACUGUCCUCCUCCCCUGGACAGUGAGUGUAUAUGACUAAUAAACUGAUGUUUAUUUCAUCUAUCCGGUGCUGGGUGUCAUAUGUUUGACCAUUCCUAUAACCCUAGAGGGCUAGGGAAACCCUCCCUCAACAAUUACCUGAAGAGGAAGUGAUUGAAAUACAUGGCUCUAGCAAAUAGGUGGUCUUGCAUGAGAUUUUGGGGCAGAAGUAAGAAACAUGGGAGUAGCAAUGUGGAGAGUACAGAGACAGAGGCAUCUGUUCUUCCAGGGGAGCCGUGGAGAAAAUGGUAGUUUUCACCAUGGAAUACUAUGCAGCCAUAAAAAGGAAUGAGAUUGUGUCCUCAGCAGGGACAUGGAUAAAGCUGGAAGCCAUUAUCCUCAGCAAACUAACACAGGAACAGAAAACCAAACACUGCAUGUUCCUGCUUACAAGUGGGAGCUGAAUGAAGAGAACACAUGGACACAGGGAGGGGAAAAACACAUAGUGGGGCCUGUUGAGGGGUGGGAGGGAGAGCAUCAGGAAGAAUAGCUAAUGGAUGCUGGGCUUGAUACCUAGGUGAUGGGUUGAUCUGUGUAGCAAACCACCGUGGCACACAUUUACCUGUGUAACAAACCUGCACAUCCUGCACAUGUACCCAGGAACUUAAAAUAAAAGUUGAGGAUAAAA
rnacentral:lncRNA from 10 species